rnacentral:lncRNA from 1 species
AUACAAAAGAAUAUGUACAAUGGUGGUCUCUCUAUACAUAGGGACAUCACCCUCGGCCGUAGCCCGAGUAGCAAGGUGAUCGACUAGCAUGCUCCUAGCAAUGUCUAGCUAGACGCGACUCCCUUGCCACGAUCCCUAGCCUCACUACAAAAAAUUCAAUAUUUUGUGGAGACUUUUUUGUGGCCAACUAAAUAUCUUCAUUAAAGGUAAACUUUUUGUGGGGAUUUUUAUUUUUUUCCCGCAAAUUUUGUUUGCGAAUAUUUAAAAUUGAAAUAGCGGCGAUUUCUCAAAAAUCGCAGUAAAUACGUUAGCCAUCUAUGUAGAAAUAUAAAAAAUUAUCAUAAAAUGUAUAGAUUAUUUAUUGUGGCGAUUAUGUUUUGUCACAAUAGAGCAUUUGUCAUAUUUUUUAGAAAAUAUAAAUAUUAUCGGUAUUUAUGUGUGGCGAUUUCUGAUGUAUGGCCACAAAAUAAGUUUUUUUUUAUGACAAAAGUUGUAAUUUCGCCAGAAAAAGUAAUAAAAAUUUUUCUUGCCAAUAUUUUUCCCUGCUAUUGAUUACCGCGCCAUUUUUUUCGUCUGGCGCCAAAGAGUCCCAAAUAUUUAGCGAGGAAAUGUAUAUCUUCGUCGCAAAAGGUUCUUUUUUUUUUAUAAAACUUUUUUUAAUUUUGUUAGAAAAAUCUAAUAUGUUGCUAUGCUAAAGUGAACGAAACCCUUUCCCCCACUUUCACCCAAACCCUUUCGCCCAUCGCACGUAUGCCGCCGCGACCUCCGCGACCUCCGCACGUUGGCCGCUCCUCCCUAGUCGCGACCUCCGCACGCCGCGACCUCCACCCCGGCCGGUGAAGCAUCGUGUCGCGACUAUCGCCGCGGUCGACGAAGCCCUAGUGGGAACCUUCGGACGAGGUGGGCCGCAGCUGCGUCGAGGCCGAGCUCGCCGAGGCCCUGCAGACCCUCGAGCCCCAGAAGAAGGACACUAUCCACGCCCUCGACUCCCAGAUCGUCACCCUUAGCCAAUUUGCACGGUACGUUUAUGCACCGGCAUUUAUCCAAUCCUCAUGAAUGGGUGGAAAAGGUUACCGCAGACUUAGAUCUCCCGUCCACUGCUCCUCAUAGGGCAAAGAGUAUAGCCCAAAAUAUAUAAACAAACAGCCAAAUAAAUUAAUAAAGAUUCCCUAGCUUGUUUUAUUUUAUUUGUUACUCUACAGGCUUGUUCUCAAAAAAUUACAAUACAUUUUAAUCAGUUAAUUCUCAAUGUAUCUCUAUGCGUGUUUGAUUUUAAUUUCACAUCCCUCUUGUGGUUUAGCAAGUGAGAUUAACACUCUUUAAAAAGCAGUGUAUAUAUUUCCGGCUUUGUUCCUCUAUAAAGAAUAUUAGGCUAAAGAACGCUAUUAUUUCAAAAUAUGUGGCUGAAGAAUAAAAGCACGUGCUAAUCCAAUCUCUGUGCUAGUUUAAACGUCCUCCACUCCACAAAAGCAGCUGUUUGAUCUGUAGCAGGGUUAGCAGUGCAUCAAUAUCUGUAGUUUAUAUCGUGUUUUCCUCUAUUUUGUAUGUAUGCAAAGUGGCUUUGUCGUUGGGCUUAGUAACCGUUCAAUUAACUGGUACAUACGUGGCAGUGUGAUGGGCUCCAAAUAAGAUCAUGACAGGUUUAAGUUUUCCGACCUCGUCGUAGAGGACAUGAUUGUGAAUCACUGGUGGUGAAUCACAUGUAUAUCCGUCUCUUUAGGCUAGGAAUCUUUGAAGAAUAGAUAGCCAAUUUCUGGUCCUUAGACCAACUCUUUAUCUUUAGAACUUACACUAAACUCGUUGUUGGAACCUACCAGCCCUAUCUUAGAGACUUUGGGUUACAAUGUAGUUAAUAUAGUUUCCGCCUCUUGUUUUGGUUUUGCCUUUUCUUUUCUGUAUUCUAGUCAAUGUAGUGUAUGGUAUUCUACCCAAUUUUUUGUAAUCUCUACUACGAUUAACUCAUUCGAGAUACACUGAUCAUAAUGCACUGCUUCUUCAUGCUAGUCGGUUGAUAUUGAAGCGUCCGGAGAUUUUUAGCUAUCGUCGUAUUUACAGCACUUUAUUAUUUCUUUUAAUGUUUAUUUAAUGAUAUUUCAAUGUUCAGAGUAUUUAUGAGUCCGAAUUUAAACUUCAAAAAAAGGUGUCUAAGUUUCUAAACUUGCGAAAUCUGUAAAUGUAUGUUCUCUGCAAUUUGUGGAAACACAUUUCCUCUUUUCUUUUGUCUAUAAAUUUCUCGAAUUGAAGGUUUCGUUUUUUUAUUUUUUUCCUGAUAGUGUCUAGUAACUAUUCUGGAGAGGGAAAAGGAAAUGGACAACUUUACUCUUGAUGUACUGAUUUUUUUUUUUUUUGGCUAAAAGGUCUUCUGAUUAAUCAUGAUCCUAAAAUUGAGGCAAACUUUGACAGGAAAAUGAUUUUGCAAACCAAUCGAAUGCAGAGGAACAGUAAUUCGAGAACGAGAUUUAGGAGAUUAAUACACAAAUGAGUUUAUUUUCAUGGACUAAUAUAUGAAUUAAAGUGUCUAGUAAAAAUCUUUGAGAUGGAGCUUUAAGAACAUUUUGUCAACAGCUUGAUUUUUUUUGUAAAUUCCACACAUUUUCUGUGACGCACUGGACCUUUGCAAAUUGUGAGGUUCGAGUGUUUGGACAGUGUCCCGAGUUUUUCCAGACUUUCUGGUGGGUCGUUGACAGUGUUCCGACCUAUGGCUCGCAUCCCGAGAAUUGUAGUAUUUUUUAUGUAGCGCUAAGGUCACUAAAGAGUUGGACUUAGGCUACCCUCGGAUUGCAUUUUGCACAAAGUGUACCGGUACACUCUUGAUGGCUGUACCGGUACACACUUUGUACCGGUACACUCUUGAUGGUUGUACCGGUACACUUGUGGCAAAUUGCAAACCCGAGCCUCGGAUUUGCAUUUUCGUAGGAUGUGUACCGGUACACUUUCCCGUGUACCGGUACACUUUGGCAGAAUCUGAGCAGUUUGAACUGCAGCGGUUUUUUCGCAAUUGUGGCAUCUCUAUUAGUACCCCCACGCCCUUAGGGCUUUCUCCUGAGCUUGCCACAGCAAGGAUAGAGGUAAGGGAGCUCUCCUUGUUUCUCCUUUGGAUUUCUUUGGAUUUUGGUGGGAUUUAAAGAGAUUAAAGCUUCUCUUUUGCUUGUUAGAGGCAUUUCCACCAUUGUUGAGGCUUGGAGCUUGGGUUUGGAGCAAAGUUGAGGGAAGAUCUUGGGAUUUCAAGAGUUUAGAGCUUAGAUUGAAGCUUCUAAGAGGUAACCCACUUAUUCUCUCCCUUUAGAUUGGAUUUUUAUUGAUGGAUUCAAGAUGAAACCCUAGUUUUGAGACUUAGGGCUUGUUUUUGGGCUUUUUGAACCUAGGGCUUUUGAGGCUUGAUUGGUUGGUUUAGAACCUUCCUAGGGCUUGGAUUGGAAGGGUUCUAGCUCUCUUUUGGAGCUUAGGAGAAGAUUUCUACUCUUGAGGUGAGUUUUGGCCCUUUUGCUUCUAGGUUAAAGAUUGAGCUUAUUGCUCUUCGUAUCGAUUGGAUGACACCAUUUUUGAUGUUCCUAGGGUGCUAGAAAGCUUGUGGAAAUCUCCGUUCGGCGAAACGAAAGUUUCGAUUUUGGUGGGUUUGACCUAGCCUUUGAUAUGAGAAAAUCUCAUAUUUGGUGAUAAGUGCUUCGUGUACUAAUAACUCAUGCAUUUUCAUAUUGAAUGUAUUUAUUAUGAAUUUUAGAGUGCUUAAAAUGCCCAUGCUAUAUGUAAUGAAAUUUGGACCUCUAUGUAGUAGAGAGUUGCUUGAGAGAGAGUUGGUUGCAUUUAGCAUUCUGUAUGAGUUUUGGUUUCAUGUUUCUAUAGAGUAAAUGAGCUAUGAUUCAUGCGUUUAAACAUAAGUUUAAUUGAGACAUGAAAGAUGACAAUUGCUAUAUAUAUAGGCAUCGAACUUGAUAUCAUGUGAAUUAGAGAGCUAAUGUCAUCAAGCGGCAUUGAGCUCAGGACAUGUGUGAACCUAGUGGAUAGGGCCAUUGAGGGAUUUGGAAAACAUGUUGAACAUCAAAUUGCCUAAGUGUCAUCAAGGGGCACUAGGCGUAGCAAAUGCUAAAACUUCACAUUGUGACUUAGACUAGAUCUUCGGGAUGCUAGUUAUGAUACCAUGUUAGAGACAUGAGGAUUGGAUAUUUGAGACUUGGACUAUGCUUGCUUGCCAUUUGUGCUCAUUCGCACAUGCUUGUGAGGGUCGCUCCCUACAAGCCGGCACUCCGGAGUUAGCCUACGCGACUUUUGUUCGCUCGUGCGGUAUUGAGAAGCCUACGGGGUCGAGUGGGACAGACACAUUCCAAGAGUAGGGAUGUCGGGCUACCACAGGCACUUAGGCGGCACAAGCUGGACUACCUUUGGUAGGUCCUUAAUUGGAAAUGGAAAUCGACACGGUGUUGAAUAUGAACAAUCACUACUAGAUAGGAUUAGUAGUUGGAUUACUUGGACACGCUUAUGAUAUAGCAUUGGUACAUUUAGUAUACUUGCCGGUUUCAUUAUUGCAUCGUAGUAUACUCGGUUGUUUGGAUAGAGUUUACCCUUAUGCAUUGACAUAUUGCAUCGUGAGGUUUACUUGUUUAUUAUGUUGAGACAUAUUAGUAUGCAUUGGACAUAUUAUCUUAUGAUAGCGUAGAUGUACAUCACCAUGGCAUCAUGCUUACUUGAGACAUAUAGGUUAGCACUUCAAUUAUGCUUUCUUACUGUUGUUACUGUUAUCCUUAUUGUUGUUUAUUAUACUUACUCCUUUUCUUUUGGGGCCUAGUGGUGCGAUGAGCUGAGGUCAGUAAUUGCCCACUGGGAACUAUAAAUUAUAGUUCUCAUGCCCUCUUUUUCUCAAUGUUUUACAGAGCCUUCCACUCAAGGUGAGGCCAGGGAUCGCGGGAAGGGAGUUGCUUCGAGCUAGCUUCCUUCGAGGACGAGUUGCUAGGCGGUCUACCUCUCGAUUUUUAUUUCUUUUUGCGAAAGGUUGAGAGUUCUACCAGUGUACUAGAGACCACCGUUUUUGUACUUUUGAGACGGAUAUUGUACUACUCAUGAAUUCUUUUAUUGUCUAGCUUUACUUCUUUACCUUGGUGUAGAUGUUAGAACUUUACUCGCUCUGAUAUCAUUAGCUGCUCAUUAUUUCACUUCUUCUAUUUGUUCUAUUACUUGCUUUUACUUCCGCUUUUAUUGUAGACGCCUUAUAUGUGUAGACAUAUGGCGGGUCUGGGCACGCUACCGGGAGGGCCUCCGCCUGUCCCGGGGCGUGACAUUUUCAAUAGUUUUAACAAUCUCAUUGCGCCCUUUCUCAAUUACUUACUGCAAUAGGGAAAAAAAAAUCUUAUAUAAGGAAUGAAUUUGAUAGAGAAUGAUUCAGAAAUAAUUUGAUAUGAAAUUCUUCAUGUUAAUAUAUAGCAAAUCUUCUUUUCUUUUCUUUUUUUGUUUUUCCUGCUUUGAAGCUAUUUUUAUUCUAUUUUGCUGGCAUGCAACUUCUGUUAGGCAGCAGCUCGAGGAGUAGCAGCUCGAGGAGCAGAGGGCGUCGAUCGCCGCGGUCGACGAAGCCCUAGCGGCGGAGCCCGCGAACGCCUAGCUCCUCGCGGUAUGUUCCUCAUCCCUCCUGAAAUUCUAGGGUUUGAUCAUUCCUUUCCUUGGAUUGCAAUCAUAGAUUGGUUUUCUCUUCAAUCUGUUCGGGAAUGGCGUGGCUGAUCAAAGAUUUGGGCACACUUGUGUGUACUAUGAUUAGAUUUGGGGCGCGAUUGGCACUGAUGAUGUAGGGUUUAGUUUUAAGAGAUGAAUUGCUAUUUGAGUAGUUUGAUAAGCAGAGAUAUUGUACUGUUAAUCCCAAAAUAACUUCUCUAUGCAUCAGAACCACUUUAUUUGUGCUUCCCACUAUAGUAGAAGGUCUAAACUUUUCUGUUUUUCCAAUGCUCUUAAUCAGAUGCAAGAAAUGGAAAUUUUGUCAUUUGAUUCUACACUUUCCUCUAUUAUGAAGGAACUUAGGAUUCUUAUGUGAUUGAAGUUUUGAAGGAAAAAUGAUGUUAAAAGAAUAAUAAUUAAUAUCAAUUUAGCGAUAUGGGCCUAAAUCCUUUCUCUAUUUUGAAUUUAUAUGUCUAUUUGAAUUUAAAUAAGUGAUAUUUUGCGAUGAUCUGUACAAGUUAUUAGCUUAAUUUAGAAUUCGGUAUGUAAUUACUAAGAAGGGAAGGAGUGCAGGCGAAUUAAGCAAGCGACCGAUAGCAUAAAUCUCACUUAGGACAAUUAAUUGGACAUAUCCAUCAUACUUAGGAGCAGAUUACUAUGAAUAUUUGUUGUGCUAGCUCAAUUGAGCAUUGACUUUUUCUUAGCUUUAUCCAGUUAUAUCCUAAUUGAGUAUACUUUUGUAUUGGAUGUACUUAUUAGCUUAAUGUGGCAUGUGACAUGCACUUAAACAUUAAUGCUAUUACAUAUCUAAGUUUCCUGAAUGAGACCAAAUAACAGUUUAUUAUGUGUUUUAGACUAAAUAAGGGCUCACUCAUAUAUGAUUUAAACCAUAUUGUUGCUAGAUGAUCAAUUAGUUGUUUUUAAUUAGGACAAUGCUAUUUAUCCUUUAAAAAUUCAUAAAGUUUUGAAAUAUACAGUUUUUUUAAAUUUGAAUUAUUGUUGAAAAUUUCUAUUUCCUUCUUGUGUUCAUAAGAUUAUAUAAAAGUUCCAACUGAGACUAAUAAAUUGGAUUCUAAGUAAAAUAUAUAUUUGAUUAUAUAUUUUCUGUAUUUGUUCUGUACUUUUUUUAACAUUAUUUUAUAAGAGUUUUAACUACUUUUCGAUUAUAGGAACUAACAAUCGACACUCAAAUUUGACUCGGUUUGCAACCAAACUAAAGUUCAACCUAACUUGGUAAAUUUUUCCCUUUCCUUUUCCCUUUAUUUUCUUGUAUUUAUCUUAUUUUGAUUGUGUUUUUGUUUUGUAUCUUCAUAUCUAUAUCAGUUAGGUUCAUUUAUACAUGAUACAAUCAUAUUGAUCUAUUUGUUUGUUUGUUGUCUAUGCAGAAUUUAACUUUUAUUUUUUUCUUUUAUUGGUGGUUUAUUAUAUCAUUUCAUAUAUUUUGCAUCCUACUAUAUUNCUUUUAUUUUUUUCUUUUAUUGGUGGUUUAUUAUAUCAUUUCAUAUAUUUUGCAUCCUACUAUUUGAUCUUAUGUAAAGUGAAUAAAAUUCUAGUUAUUAUGUAAAGUAUUAGUUAAUAUUAUUUUCUUUUUUUUUAUUUGAAAUGCAGCAUAUAAAUUUCUAUUUGUGCCUUUGCUUUCUUGCUCUUGUAUUAAUUGGAUAAGGCAAAGUUUAUAGGAGUUUCGUCCCUAAGCUCAACUUCUUUUGUGCGGUAGUCGGUUCAUUGACCAUCGCUGUCAUGAUGCUUAUGCUUGUUUCUUCUCUUUAUCAAUAACUUUUAUGAUUUUUUUUUAAGUUAUUUAAUCAAAAUAUUUCAUCCGUAGGCCCCCACACCAAAAACCCAUUAAUACAUAUACUAUUUUGAUCCCCAAGAAACCUGGGGCAUGAGCCCUUUUUGUUAAAGCACAAGCUGGGAUCAAACUCCCAACAUCUAGGACGGCAACCUUGUUAACAACUACUAGGCUAGGCCAACUGUUAACUAAUUCAUGAUUCGUUGCAGAGUUUUCUCCUAAAUAGGCCAUUUACUUAGUGCCUAUAACCAAACACUCAAACAGUUGAUGUUGAUUGGUGUUAUAGAUUGUUGAUGUUGAUUUGUUUUACAUAUGACUCUAUAUGACUUAAUACUUUACAAUUGCUUUGUGUAUUCUUUUUAUUUAUAAGUCAUUAUGGGUCAUAUUUUAGUAUUUGAAAGCAAUACUAAGUAAAUUUUUUUAAUUGUACAGGAAUACGCAAGACCAAUCGACUUUUGGAGAAUAUUUUAAUUGUGCAGGAAUAGGCAAGACAAAGCGACUUUUGCAGGAUUAAGUUUCUUCGGGUCCAUUUAUUUUUGUUUAGAGAUUUCGAAAUAGGCAUGACUAGAAAACUGCUUAUUUUAAAGAUGCAUAUGACAUCGAUCUUUAUGUUUUAAAAGUUAUUACUUGAUGUGAAUUUGUUAUGACGUAUAUUUGAUCUUGUAGUUGCUAGAGAAAUGUUUUGUAUAGACUGUUAUAUUUUGGAUAUGUACAAUGCAUCUUACAUGUAUGGUUUAAAAUCUGGCUAAUACAAGUUAUGUUCUUUUGUAUUUUCUUGUUAUUUAUAUAAUGCUCUUGUAUAAAAAGUCUAAUGUUUAAUUCAAUGUAUCUUAUAACACAUACUUUUUGUGAGGAAUUUGAGAAAAUGGCUACAAAAGAUCGACAUUAACACAUUGCCACAGUACUAAUAACUUUUUGUGAUAAAAUAUAAAGUUUGGACACAAAUAUGCACCAUUUUGUUACGAUUUUUUUAAGAUUCCUCACAAAAAGUCAUUUAACUAUUAAAAAAUAAUACUUAUAUUUUAAUGCAGAAUUAUUGUGGACAUAAAUGAUAUGAAAUACUGUUGUGACGAUCUAAAUGGCUACAAAAGUUUAAAAUAUUUUAUGGCGAUUUAUUUUCUCCGUUAAUAACUGUUAUUUUACAAUAUGUAAAAUAGUAUCUGUGACGAACAUUUUCGUCACAAAUAACAACUUAUUUUGUGGCGAAAGUUAUUUCCUCACAAUAAUUACUGUUUUUUACAAUAUGUGGAACAGUAUCUGUGACGAACAUUUUCGUCACAAAUAAUAAAUUGUUUUGUGGCGAAAGUUUUUUCCUCACAAUAAUUUUUAACAGCAGGGUUAUUAUGGCGACGCUGUGGCGGAAUAAAUUUGGCCACAAAAAUAUUUUUGUGGCGAAACAUGGACUUUUUGUGGCGAAAAUUUGCUCAACAAAACAAUAGUUUUCUUGUAGUGCCUCUCCUGUAGAUGGCUCUGUAAAAAACAUCAAUAAAAAGGGCGUGAGAACUAUUAACAAUAGUUUCCAGUGGGUAAGCCGCCAGCCUCGGCGAAUUACACCACUAGGCUCAUGAUGUACUAAAUGAAAGCGAAAGCAGUAAUUGCAUGACAUAUAAUUAUGCAAUGUUAACCGGUAAUGGGCAUGUAACCAACAUGUAAUCAUAGUCUCAACAGUAAUGUAUCAACUGAAUAAUAGAAGCAUAGCAACUAUGAUAAGCAUGAACAUAAUCAUAAAUGUGUAAGUAACUACUGUACACUGUAACUGGUAAUCAUUCAUUACGGUCCACUUUUCUUUAGUACUUUCCUUUCAUUCACAGGGAUCUACUCAAGGUAGUCCGGCUUGCGCCACACCUAAUGGCCCUGUGGUAGUGUACACUCCCCACGGCAAUCCACUUCGGCACCCAAUCCCGCACGGGCGAGCAACUGUCACGUAGGCCAACUCCGGAGUGCCGGCUUGUAGGGAGCGACCCUCAGAAGCGUGUGCGAAUGAGCACGAUGGCAAGCAAGCAAAUCUAAAGCUCAAUAUGUCUCAAUCAUC